UACGGAGGAUGCAAGCGUUAUCCGGAUUUAUUGGGUUUAAAGGGUGCGCAGGUUGUUUGAUAAGUCAGUGGUGAAAGUCUGUCGCUUAACGGUAGGAUUGCCAUUGAUACUGUUAGACUUGAAUAUGGAUGAGGUAGGCGGAAUGUGUAGUGUAGCGGUGAAAUGCAUAGAUAUUACACAGAACACCGAUUGCGAAGGCAGCUUACUAACCCAUCAUUGACGCUGAGGCACGAAAGCGUGGGGAUCAAACAGGA
rnacentral:rRNA from 1 species